GACGAACGCUGGCGGCGUGCUUAUCACAUGCAAGUCGAACGGUGAAGCGCCUUCCUUUUUGGUGGGUGUGGAUGAGUGGCGAACGGGUGAGUAACACGUGAGUAACCUGCCCCCUUCUUCUGGAUAACCGCAUGAAAGUGUGGCUAAUACGGGAUAUUCUGGGUCUGUCGCAUGAUGGGUCUGGGAAAGAUAUUGUUUCGGUGGGGGAUGGGCUCGCGGCCUAUCAGCUUGUUGGUGGGGUGAUGGCCUACCAAGGCGGUGACGGGUAGCCGGCCUGAGAGGGUGGACGGUCACACUGGGACUGAGACACGGCACAGACUCCUACGGGAGGCAGCAGUGGGGAAUAUUGCACAAUGGGCGCAAGCCUGAUGCAGCGACGCCGCGUGAGGGAUGGAGGCCUUCGGGUUGUGAACCUCUUUCGCCAGUGAAGCAGGCCUGCCUCGUUUGUGGGUGGGUUGACGGUAGCUGGAUAAGAAGCGCCGGCUAACUACGUG
rnacentral:rRNA from 1 species